rnacentral:rRNA from 1 species
UGAGGAAUUUUGCGCAAUGGGGGAAGCCCUGACGCAGCAACGCCGCGUGGGCGAUGAAGGCCUUCGGGUCGUAAAGCCCUGUCGGGCGGGAAGAACGUCCCCUUUUGGGGAGUGACGGUACCGCCAGAGGAAGCACCGGCUAACUCCGUGCCAGCAGCCGCGGUAAUACGGAGGGUGCAAGCGUUAUUCGGAAUUACUGGGCGUAAAGGGCGUGCAGGCGGGAGAGCAAGUCUGAUGUGAAAGCCCGGGGCUUAACCCCGGAAGGGCAUUGGAAACUGCUUUUCUUGAGUUCUGGAGAGGAAGGGAGAAUUCCCGGUGUAGAGGUGAAAUUCGUAGAGAUCGGGAGGAACAUCAGUGGCGAAGGCGCCCUUCUGGACAGCAACUGACGCUGAGACGCGAAAGCGUGGGGAGCAAACA